GUCAGUUAGAGACAGUAGGAUAGAUAGAUACUGGUCAGUUAGAGACAGUAGGAUAGAUAGAUACUGGUCAGUUAGAGACAGUAGGAUAGAUACUGGUCAGUUAGAGACAGUAGGACAGAUAGAUACUGGUCAGUUAGAGACAGUAGACUGGACAGAUAGAUACUGGUCAGUUAGAGACAGUAGGAUAGAUAGUUACUGGUCAGUUAGAGACAGUAGGAUAGAUAGAUACUGGUCAGUUAGAGACAGUAGGACAGAUAGAUACUGGUCAGUUAGAGACAGUAGGACAGAUACUGGUCAGUUAGAGACAGUAGGACAGAUAGAUACAGGUCAGUUAGAGACAGACAGAUAGAUACUGGUCAGUUAGAGACAGUAGGAUAGAUACUGGUCAGUUAGAGACAGUAGGACAGAUAGAUACUGGUCAGUUAGAGACAGUAGGAUAGAUAGAUACUGGUCAGUUAGAGACAGUAGGAUAGAUAGAUACUGGUCAGUUAGAGACAGUAGGAUAGAUAGAUACUGGUCAGUUAGAGACAGUAGGAUAGAUACUGGUCAGUUAGAGACAGUAGGACAGAUAGAU
ensembl:lncRNA